UACGAGGGGUGCAAACGUUGCUCGGAAUUAUUGGGCGUAAAGCGCACGUAGGCGGCUUUGCAAGUCGGAUGUGAAAUCCCUCGGCUCAACCAAGGAAGUGCAUCCGAAACUGCAGAGCUUGAGUACCAAAGAGGAUCGCGGAAUUCCCGGUGUAGAGGUGAAAUUCGUAGAUAUCGGGAGGAACACCAGUGGCGAAGGCGGCGAUCUGGGUGGAUACUGACGCUGAGGUGCGAAAGCGUGGGGAGCAAACAGG
rnacentral:rRNA from 1 species